rnacentral:tRNA from 1 species
GCCUGGUUAGCUCGGUUGGUAGAGUUCUCCACUAGUGAUGGAGGUGUCCCGGGAUUGAAUCCUGAACCGGGCC